AGUGCCCCAGGUCGGGGAGUGACGUCCACCCACGUCUGGCGGCCGCCUCCGCGAUCGACUAGCACCUGCAGGCCGCCCAUGCCGUCCUGCAGGAGGAUGGUGAAGAAACCGGUGUCCGAGUGCUUCCUGACGCCGAUGGUGAGGUGCGGCUCCGGGCAUGGCGGGUAGUACUGGCACACGAUGUGGAGCUGCUGCAUGCACUCCAUCUUGUGCAGGUGGUCGCUGGGCAUGCCGAGGGACUCCGACAGCAGCUCGAACAUGGACCGCGCCAGCUUCGUCAGUUCCUCGCCGUAUUCCAUCAUCACGUUCCUUACAUCAUAUCGUCAUAUCAUCAUCGUCCAACAAUAUAAUGCAUGCAAUAAUGCAACAAUGAGUCAGAAACUAAUGCGAUCUAC
rnacentral:lncRNA from 1 species